rnacentral:rRNA from 1 species
AUGGUGCUUACGGCCCCAAAAAACGAUCUUAUCAAAGGGUUAGCUGCUGAUCUUAUUGAGAAUGGGGUUUGCAUCCUGCAAUAUGCUGAUGAUACGGUGCUUUGUUUCGAACAUGAUAUAGACAAAGCCAUCAACGUCAAACUAUUGCUCUAUCUUUUUGAGAUUAUGUCAGGAUUAAAAAUCAAUUUUGAGAAGAGUGAGAUCUUUAGUAUUGGAGGUGACAAUGAUAUUGAUCUAGCUUAUGCUGACAUGUUUGGAUGCCAAGUGGGCUCCUUACCUAUAUCUUGGAGUCCUAGUUACUUACUCCGCUCUCAAGAAUGCGGAUUUAGACUUCCUUGA